GACGAACGCUGGCGGCGUGCUUAACACAUGCAAGUCGAACGGAAAGGCCUGCAGCUUGCUGCGGGUACUCGAGUGGCGAACGGGUGAGUAACACGUGGGUGAUCUGCCUUGCACUUCGGGAUAAGCUUGGGAAACUGGGUCUAAUACCGGAUAGGACAGCUGUUUAGUGUCAGUUGUGGAAAGUUUUUUCGGUGCAAGAUGAGCUCGCGGCCUAUCAGCUUGUUGGUGGGGUAAUGGCCUACCAAGGCGUCGACGGGUAGCCGGCCUGAGAGGGUGUACGGCCACAUUGGGACUGAGAUACGGCCCAGACUCCUAUGGGAGGCAGCAGUGGGGAAUAUUGCACAAUGGGCGGAAGCCUGAUGCAGCGACGCCGCGUGGGGGAUGAAGGCCUUCGGGUUGUAAACUCCUUUCGACAGGGACGAAGCUUUUGUGACGGUACCUGUAUAAGAAGCACCGGCUAACUACGUG
rnacentral:rRNA from 1 species